rnacentral:rRNA from 1 species
UGGUGACGAUAGCGAAGAGGUCACACCCGUUCCCAUUCCGAACACGGAAGUUAAGCUCUUCAGCGCCGAUGGUAGUUGGGGGCUGUCCCCCUGUGAGAGUAGGACGUUGCCAAGC